rnacentral:rRNA from 1 species
AGUGAACGCUGGCGGCGUGCCUAAUACAUGCAAGUCGAACGGAGAUUAAGUAGCUUGCUAUUUAAUCUUAGUGGCGCACGGGUGAGUAAUAUAUAGCUAACUUGCCCAUUACUAAGGGACAACAGUUGGAAACGACUGCUAAUACCUUAUACUCCGUAUCUAUAUAAGUAGAUACGGGAAAGUUUUUCGGUAAUGGAUAGGGCUAUAUCGUAUCAGCUAGUUGGUAAGGUAAUGGCUUACCAAGGCUAUGACGCGUAACUGGUCUGAGAGGAUGAUCAGUCACACUGGAACUGAGACACGGUCCAGACUCCUACGGGAGGCAGCAGUAGGGAAUAUUGCUCAAUGGGCGAAACCCUGAAGCAGCAACGCCGCGUGGAGGAUGACACUUUUCGGAGCGUAAACUCCUUUUCUUGGGAAAGAAUUAUGACGGUACCCAAGGAAUAAGCACCGGCUAACUCCGUG